rnacentral:lncRNA from 1 species
CCCACUAAACCCACACAGCAUUGAUGAUAUACACAGUUUGAUCCUCCAGCUUGCAAGUAGAAAUCCCAGUGGGGCACUGCAGUUCCUACAGGCUGGAAGCUGUCUUCCAGUGAAAGUUUGUGAGCCUUCCACGUCCACCCCUUGAUAUCUUCAUGGG